rnacentral:rRNA from 1 species
GAGUUUGAUCCUGGCUCAGGACGAACGCUGGCGGCGUGCCUAAUACAUGCAAGUCGAGCGAGCUUGCCUAGAUGAUUUUAGUGCUUGCACUAAAUGAAACUAGAUACAAGCGAGCGGCGGACGGGUGAGUAACACGUGGGUAACCUGCCCAAGAGACUGGGAUAACACCUGGAAACAGAUGCUAAUACCGGAUAACAACACUAGACGCAUGUCUAGAGUUUGAAAGAUGGUUCUGCUAUCACUCUUGGAUGGACCUGCGGUGCAUUAGCUAGUUGGUAAGGUAACGGCUUACCAAGGCAAUGAUGCAUAGCCGAGUUGAGAGACUGAUCGGCCACAUUGGGACUGAGACACGGCCCAAACUCCUACGGGAGGCAGCAGUGGGGAAUAUUGCACAAUGGGGGAAACCCUGAUGCAGCAACGCCGCGUGGGUGAAGGAGCGUUUCGGCGCGUAAAGCCCUGUCAGCGGGGAAGAAGAAAGACGGUACCCGACCAAGAAGCCCCGGCUAACUACGUGCCAGCAGCCGCGGUAAUACGUAGGGGGCGAGCGUUAUCCGGAAUUACUGGGUGUAAAGGGAGCGUAGACGGCGAGGUAAGCCU